CAUGUACGUUCUUUUGUGAACAACUGGAAAUACCAUCAGUCAAUCAUUGCGUAAUAAUAUUUCAUCUUUCGCUUAUCGGUCUGAACCGUCAAACGUUAUCUUCAAGCUUUGUCAUUUCAAAAUCGUGUCAUAAGGAUUCCAUCGAUGAAAGAAGGAUGUAAAGAAUAAAA